ACGGGAUAGAGAAAAAUCUAAAUCCAAAUUGCACGACAUCGAUCGACCAUCCAAAGCUGUGUUUCUUUCCCCAGUAUGCAUUGAAGUAUAUCACAACGCCCUAUUUUAUCUUGAACUCAGCUUAUGAUGUAUACCAGUUUCAUCAUAGUUUGGUUCCACCUUUGACCGAUCUGCACGGGCACUGGAAUCGUUGCAAGCUUAAUCCGGCAACAUGCAAUUCAACCCAGAUUAAUGUAUUGCAAGGUUUGAGGCGAGAUAUGCUUUCGGCGCUUUAUUCAUUCUACAGAAAUUCAGGAAGAGGAGGAAUGUUUAUAAAUUCAUGCUUUGUUCAUUGUCAAAGU